AGGAGUGUGUUUAGCGGAUAAGAAGAUAAAAAUCUCCCAUCUGCCGUCUUUGCUUUCUCUCCUGAUUGUAUGUAUAUUUGAUCUGUAUACCAUGUCGCGUAAGUGCUUGGAUCGUCGAACACCGAGGUUCCUCCACUGUCGAUGUUUAGCCAAUAGUCAUCUGAAACACGAUUUAAAUAUGAUAAACUAAUUUUUAGUAAAAAUUUAUAUAUUUUAUUAUGUGAUUUUAAAAAAAAAAAUUUAUGAAAAUUGAAUACGAUAGGUUGUGAUUGUUGUAAUUCUCGAUUUAAUUUACCAUAAUUAACUGUAAGAACUAAAAUUUAAGUAUGGAUUAAAUCAAAAUUAAAUUAAAAGUGAGCCCAAAAUUUUCAUUAAUGACUUACAGUAUGGUCUGGCAAGGGCGGCAAAAUUAGAUGCAGCAAACAGUGAUACCACCAAGAUCAAUGCUGACUUCCAUUUCGCCAUUAAGAAGAAGAAGAAGAAGAAGGGAGAGAAUUUUAAGAGAGAUUUA
rnacentral:lncRNA from 1 species